rnacentral:tRNA from 1 species
GGGAAUAUAGCUCAGUGGAACAGCACCUGCCUGACAAGCAUUAGGACCUGGGUUUGAUUCCCAGUCCA